rnacentral:lncRNA from 1 species
CUGAAUGACAACAAUAUAGCCUUGUCACUACUAGUUGGCAAGUUGGUUGAUAUGGGGUGCAGUAGGCUAGCGUCAUUAUUAAUUGAGUCCCUUGACAAAAUUAUAUUAUUUUUGACUUGGUAAAAUAAGCUAAUUGUGUGCACUCUCACUAGAUAGAAUUGUGUGGUUUGGUGGCAGAUUUUCAAAAGGAAAUAGACAUAUACAGUAUAUCGUCAGCAAUUCUCAAUCAGAUGAGAUACAGAGCUAACCCAUAUUGAAUUUCAUUCAUAAAUGUGGACACUAAUUAUUGUUAAUAUUCUAAUUAUCUAGGCCCUCCAUUCCCAAACCUGAAGCCCCCUGUCCCGAGCAGGAAAGACCAGGAAAAGUGUUGGUUUAAUUAAGGUAUUUAGAGUUACUGACAUGAAUAAAAGCAUAUACAAGCAAUCUAUCAAAUGUAUUUUAUAAAGCCCCUUUUACAUCAGGAGUUGUCACAACGUGCUUAUACAGAUAUCCAGCCUAAAACCUCAAAGAGCAAGCAAUGUAGACGUGGCCAGGAAAUACUGAAUUAUGUUUUCAUGUUGUUUUAAAGGAAACUACGAUGGUAGUAUGAAGGAGAUCCAUUCUGUUUUUUUACUGUUUAUAAUAACACAGAUGUAACAUGACUGUAAGUACUUGAAUGGAGAAAUGUAUCGUGUUAGUCACAGUGCAAGGGUACCAUAUAAGUGUAGGUGCUUACUGUGCACAUAUUGAUUGAUGAAAGGCAGGAACCUAGAGAGGAACCAGGCUCUGAGGGGUGGUCAGUCCUCUUCUGGCUGUGCUGGUGGAGAUUAUAAAAGAGUACAGCCAUUUAGCCAGACUAUUCUUCAAGACGUUUAAACGUUCAUAGAUGACCAUCGGUGUCAAAUAAAAUAGGUUUAUAGAGGGUGCAAUAGUUCAGCACCUCAGGAGUAAAUGCCAGUUGGCUCUUUAUAGCUGAGCAUUUAGAGGUUGAGACAGUAGGUCCGGUAAAGAGAGACAGGAUCAAACAGCAGGUCUGGGACAAGUUAGUACCUCCAUUGAGCCUUGAGCAGGUCAGGGUUCCAUAGCUGCAGACAGAAACAGCAGAGACUGGAUCAGCAGCAUGACUAGGUGGACUGGAGACAGGGACAGCCAGGAAUCGUCAGGCCAGGUAGUCCUGAGGCAUGGUCCUAGAGCUCAUGUCCUGCAGCCUUUAUUUAACUUGAGUGUAGACUAAGCCCUAGAGGUUUGUAACUUCACAUGAUUUAGCCUACUUGUCAAUCCAGAUCUGAAUAUUUUAUAUAAUUUUUACUGUACACUGUUGAUAGUAAUUUUUCCCAAGCUAAUCACUGAAUGGCCUACUACAAGGAUGUGGUCAUAAUAACACAGAACACACACAUAUCAGAUUGCAACGGCAAGUACAAUGAGCAGUUAUGAAAAUGAAGUCUGCUGCGUGGGUUGCCAGAUACACACACACACACAAACUUAAUUCAUUUGUUGUAUUGUAUUUAUUAUGGAUCCCCAUUAGCUGCUGCCAAGACAGCAGUUACUCUUCUUCGGGUCCAGCAAAAUUAAGGCAGUUAUACAAUUUUAAAAACAUUACAAUACAUUUACAACACAUUAAGUGUGUUCCCUCAGGCCACUACUCUACUACCACAUAUCUACAACACAAAAUCCUUGUGCACGUGUGUGUACAGUGCGUAUGUUAUCGUGUGUAUGCAUGUGUCUCUUCACGGUCCCUGCUGUUCCAUAAGGCGUAUUUUAUCUGUUUUUUAAGAUCUAAUUUUACUGCUUGCAUGAGUUACUUGAUGUGGAAUAGAGUUCCAUGUAGUCAUGGCUCUAUGUACUACUGUACGCCUCCCAUUGUCUGUUCUGUUUAGGUUAGUGUGUAGUCAAGGCUUUGUCAUUAAAAUUAUAUUGUGGCCAUUUUUCAGAACUGCCAACCUGCUCGGUGGGUGACAGGUAACCAACCGUCUUUCCACCAAGCUGUUCCAGGUCUGAAGUGGCAGGCUGGAACUUCCAGAGGCUUGUAGACCUGAAGCAGUGUGAUGAUCAAACACACGUAUACACACUCAAUCAAUCACUCUGUUUUGUUGUAUAAUUAUUUUAACGUAAGAAAAUUGUUCCUCUCUAUUUUAGAUCUGACACCCCUAUUAGCUCAACCACAGUCUUCACAGCUGCAGUCGUCUGCCCCUGCAUCUGCUACACCGGCCACGACAGGUGAUACAGGUCUGCCAACCCCCAGCAGUUCAGCUGCUGUCACAGCAGUCCUCUGCUGUAGUAUUUAAUUUACCGGCUGCACCAGUUCCUACUACACUGGGAGUGAAGGGAGAAACUUUUGAGGAUACCCAGAUGGAUACAUAUCUGCCAUGCACUUCACCACUGCCUGACAGCCUCACCCAGAAGUGCAUACACUGGGCCUAUCAAGACUGACAAAGCAGAGAUGGGUGGCUGACAAGGAAAAAUAAAAUAACAUGCACUCACACACAUUAUCCACAAAGUAAAUAAGUUGUAAUUACUUGUUUAUUUAAUGUUUGCUCCAUUUUAUUUUCAGAUUGGAGAUAUCUACUCCUUCAUAACCAAUAUCUACAUAAUUACUGUAAAUAUCUAUCAAAUCAAAGUGUGAAUGAUAAUAUUGUAAAAGACUAUGGCUUAAUGUUUACAGUUUGAGGAAAUUCUGUGUGCUUUUUUCAGAGUUGAAAAACAUGUCUCCCUCUCACAAACGCACAUUAGACCCAAUGUAAAUAAAUUGUAAUAAGUUGUUUGUUGUAUGUAUGCUACAUUUUAUUUGAGGAAAAUAUCUGCAAUAAAGUACAUUCACAG